UACGAAGGGGGCUAGCGUUGCUCGGAAUGACUGGGCGUAAAGGGCGCGUAGGCGGACGGCUUUGUCGGGCGUGAAAUUCCAGGGCUUAACCUUGGGGGUGCGUUCGAGACGGGUUGUCUUGAGUGGGGAAGAGGGUCGUGGAAUUCCCAGUGUAGAGGUGAAAUUCGUAGAUAUUGGGAAGAACACCGGUGGCGAAGGCGGCGACCUGGUCCUUGACUGACGCUGAGGCGCGAAAGCGUGGGGAGCAAACCGG
rnacentral:rRNA from 1 species